rnacentral:rRNA from 1 species
AACGAACGCUGGCGGCAUGCCUAACACAUGCAAGUCGAACGAACCCUUCGGGGUUAGUGGCGCACGGGUGCGUAACGCGUGGGAAUCUGCCCUUUGCUUCGGAAUAACUCAGGGAAACUUGUGCUAAUACCGGAUGAUGUCUUCGGACCAAAGAUUUAUCGGCAAGGGAUGAGCCCGCGUAGGAUUAGGUAGUUGGUGGGGUAAAGGCCUACCAAGCCGACGAUCCUUAGCUGGUCUGAGAGGAUGAUCAGCCACACUGGGACUGAGACACGGCCCAGACUCCUACGGGAGGCAGCAGUGGGGAAUAUUGGAAAAUGGGCGCAAGCAUGAUCCAGCAAUGCCGCGUGAGUGAUGAAGGCCCUCGAGUCGUAAAGCUCUUUUACCAGGGAUGAUAAUGACAGUACCUGGAGAAUAAGCUCCGGCUAACUCCGUG